GUACAUCUUCAGUGCCUACUAUGUGCAACAUUGCUCUAGGCCUCAGGGAUACUUCAGAGAAAAAACAUGACCUGUACAUUUGUGGAAUCACAGAGCUGGAAAGAAGGGCAAGAACAGGUCAUUUGUUGCAGCUUUCUGCUUCUAGGGCACACCGUAUCUCUGCCAGCUGAGCCUCUAUGUUAUCGACCAGACACUGGAUCUGGGCCAGUAAAGCUGUGUAGCGGGCCUCUGUCUCCACCAAGAUGCAUUCUUGGGAAUCUCUCUACCAUGGAGGAGGAAAGUAUGACUUACAAUGAUGACCUCUUGGAGCCUAGGUCAUGUGUGAAAUGAAUCAUUUUAAACAAUGGUUUCUUUGUGACAGGACACUGCUGGCUUUGACUCCUCUAUCCACUGCGCCGAGGGUUGAACAUUCAUGCACAGUAGUUUUCGACCGUGCAAAUCAGAUACGCUGAGCAUGCCUCACAAGUGUUGCUUGAUGUGCUUAUUGUAGAACACGGGUUACAAGGAAGCCUGUGGAAAUUUUGAAGAGAUCAUUUAACACAUGAGGGAGGUUUCACCUUGGGCAGACCUUGAGGAGGCAAGAUUCUCUUGCAUGAGCUUCUUUGUGACUUGGGGGAUUUUGAGAAUAAUCGUGUGGAACUUGCCUGCUGUCUUCACUCUCAAGGAGACCUCGGUGCUGCAGGAUCAUGCUCAAGCCCAGGAGGGAAGGUCAGGGAAUCCUGUUGGGACAGUACAGACUGUUGACCUAUCACUUCUGCUUCUAGCUCAGUAAACAGCAGUAUUUGGGCUUUGCUGUGCUUGGAGCUCAAUUUCCAGAGCAUUGGCUGUGCGUUUCAGUUCCAGGAUCUCUGUCUGGCAGUCUUGCAGCUGCUCUGCGCUGCACAGCUGCUGCUGAUUCAGCUCCUCUGUCUGUAAACCAGGACCCUGUUGAGGUCGAUGGUGGGGGCAGUGUCCAGCUCUACACUGAGUCGGUCACCCAACUGUCCACGAAGCAAGUCAACCUCCUGAAAGAGGAAAUGGAGUAAAGAAAGUCACAGAGUGGUGGGGAAGAAGAAUUCACCUUGACAUCCCAAGAGCAUCCAAUUUCUGGAGAAGCAAAGGAGAUCUUCCUUCAGAGACUCCACAUGGGCCUCCAGAUCAGCUUUGCACAGAGUCAGCUCAUCCAGGAUCCCACGCAGGCCACCAAUGUCCGUCUCUAUCAGCUGGCGAAGAGACAGUUCAGACUCAUACCUUUCACAGCAAAAGAGAUACAGAUGGUGCUUAUUUUGCUAGACACUGUGCAAGAUGCUGGGCAUGCUGAUGAAUGACACAACGACUCAAGGAAGCUAUAUCCCAAUUAAUGUGAGCUUUGUGAGCAUUCUUAGCUUAAAAAAAGCUUAUGUAGAGAAUAUUUGUAGUGUGCACGUGUGUGUGUGUGUGUGUGUGUGUGUGUGAGAGAGAGAGAGAGAGAGACAGCCAUGAAUUAUUUUCAAAUUCAAAUUUAACUUACUUUGACCUAAAGUCAUCAGCAGCCAGUUUGCAGUUGUCAAGUUGCACAGCAAGUCUGGAAUUUUCUGCCUUCGUGCAUAAGAUCUGGCCACGGACCUUCUCUAGAUAGUUGGCAAGUCUGUCAUUCAGGAACUGCAUCGUCUCCUUCUCAUUGCUGUUGAACACCCCAUCCUCACACCAAGCACAGUUCCCCACCAAGCAAGGAAUAUUAUAAUUCCCAGCAAAGUAGCAUGGUGUGAGGCAACUAGUUGGCAAGCGAGACCUGGAUAGGAAGCUAGGGGUCUGGCAUCUGGAUGUAGCAGGGGCACUGGGGAGGCAGGUGGCCUCCAUGGAACAGGUUGAAGCAAGUGCACAGUCGGAAGCCUGGGCACAGGAUUCAGAAGAGCAGCACGUGGGGAAACAGUCAGAAGUCAUCCUAUUAGAAGUGAAGAACAAGACUAGUUGCAAAACUCCAAUUGACUGGUUCCCAGAGUCUCCAUCCCUCCUGAGACUUUUAUACAGCCUGCAAAUGGGUAUUUACAGAACAUACCGGAUGUUCUGUUUAUCACUGUUGGUGCCAGUUUUCAUAUGAACAUUCAUUAGUGUUGUUUGUUUUCUGAGGAAGUUUUAUGCCUCAUAAAAGAGGCAUAGCUUCAGGUUACUAAGUAAGGGCAAUAUUUCCAUCUGCCAGUAGGAUAAGACGCUUGGUUCAGAGAAUCUUCAUGAGAUGCAUUAUCUUUUUGGUAGAAUACAGAAAGGCAGAGGACAUUUGGCACUCAGUAAUUGCAGAUACAACUGAUUACAAAUAACAAAAAUGAUAUUAUCACAGAUUUUGCUCCUGUAUUGUAAAUUGUUUAUCUAUCCUUUUAAAAUUCAUAUUACAUCUCAUUAAAUGCCAUUUAUUUGUUUGUGUACCAUCAUAAAAUGUUCCAUGUAGUUAACCAUCUUUGCAAUGCUUUUUAUGGUCUUGUUGUGCUCACAUGGUAGAGGAGUGAGGUGUGUACUGGGUUUAAAGUGUGUGUGCACAUGCAUAUGUGUGUGUGUGUGUGUGUGUGUAUGAACUACAUCUACCUGUGUGCAAAUUGAAAAGUCACUUUAUAAAUAACUGAUGGGCAUAAUCUGUGGCCUGCAGGCCAAAAUACAAACUGGUUAUCAAGAUCUGGAGUUGUGAUCUUUGAUUUCCUGAAACUUGCUUUCUCUAUGUUAC